rnacentral:piRNA from 1 species
CCUGCCAGGACCUGGCCGAGACUGUGGACA